UUUUAUUCAGCAUAAUUAUAGGUUGUUACAAUCAUAACUUAGAACAUCUCUAAGCAUGAUAGGCAUAGAAUCAAGUCAUGCCAUUCAAGCUGAUUCGAUUGUUCAAUGAUAGGAGCACAAAGUGUGAUGUUCUUAAUAUGUUUAUACCCUUUAUUUACCCUUUGUUAACUCCUAUUUAGUUGUUUUAGCUUUAUAUUUGUGUUUAGUGUAGAAUAAUUGCUUAAUGUAGAAAUAUGUAGGUUUUAGUGUUAGAAUACAUAGUAUUUUCGGAUUUGAAUAAUUUGAUGUUGAAAUUGUGCUAAGUGUUGGAAAUCCUUGUUUACUCAGGAUUCCUGUCUUGAUCAGGAUUCCAUCUUUUCUCUUUCCUGGUUUCUAAUUUUCUUAUUUCUAUUUCAAGAAAGUCUAAACCCGUGUUGACCAGGAAAUGUUUUCCUGACUCAUGAGGGAAAGGUGGCCGGCAGCUAGGAGUUCCUGCUUGAGCUAGGAGAAGUACAAUCCGAGAUAUGUAUGGAAGAUGCCGUGAGAUUUCCCAAGUCACCAAGGGAAGAGACCGUGCGGCCCAAGAGAGAAGGUUUUCCAAGUUCAAGAUGGUUUUGUCAUUCCUUAAUGCAUAAGGAUUACUUGAAGGCCAAGAGAGGAAGUUAAAUCCAACUUGGACUUGGUUUUGCCGAUUUAAUAAGGAUUCCUUGUGCUUGAGGAAUUCUUGGAGAUCAAGUCUUGUUACUCUAUAUAUAGGGCACGGCAUGGCAGCAGUUUAUCAUCAUCAACCCGUGCAAAAUUACACCAAAGCUUUGCCGAAACUCCAUCAUUCUCCAAACACCAUAAUCCGAACUCACCAUCAUCCUUGAUCCGAAGCAAGUAGCCUAGGGUUCCGCUCACUCGAAGAAUAGAACAAGUAGGGAUAUUUUGAGAGUGAAUUCCAUCUUUUACUUUCGGAUUAGAAUGUGUUUGUUCUUUUUGUAUGUUUGUUUUAGGUUUUUGCUUAAGUAUGUUUCGAUUAUUGUCUAUGAGAUAGAAGUACUUUUAAGCCAUGUGUUGAAUUGAAGUUUAUGAUUUAUGAUCAAUGAUUUUAGGUUUUAUGCCGUGAGUUUUAUGUCCAUGUAUUUUAAGAUUUUCGGUGUAUUCUUCUAUUUUCAUGUGUAAUUGAUACAAGUAGUUGAUGUUGCAUGUGUUAAUCAUCCAAGGUUCGACUUUGAGACAAGUAGUUGAUAAGUUGCAUUGUCUUUGUUAUUUCACCGAUUUUCUACCUAUGUUUGAUUUGGACUUGUGCUUAAACACAUCGAUUCUUUAUGUGAUACGUAAUUGCAUGAUUAGUUUAUGUGUGUGACCUAUAAGUAGAGC
rnacentral:lncRNA from 1 species